CAGUCUCCGUAGAGACUGUCAAAAAUUGCCAAUGCCGACUAUAUUGCAAGUCGUCACGGCGGGGUAUUGGGAAAAGUUUUCAAUUAGCAAUAAUCGCGCCUCGGAUAGACCUCAUUGGCUACGAUACUGCCACUGCGCAAAGCUAACAAGCUACGCCCCCUGCUCAUCACUCCCAAUAAGCCAGCUUCCUAUUACGCAAAGAAUGAAGAUGAGCUUUGGGUUGACUUUCAGAUCAGCAAAAGGCCGUUGGAUCGCAAACCCCAGCCAGCCGUGCUCCAAAGCCUCCGUUGAGUUAUUUGUGCCAGCAAGUCCUCCUUUGGACCCUGAGAAGGUCAAAGAGUUACAGCGCUUCAUCACCCUUUCCAAGAGACUCCUUGUGAUGACUGGGGCAGGAAUCUCCACCGAGUCGGGGAUACCAGACUACAGGUCAGAAAAAGUGGGGCUUUAUGCCCGCACUGACCGCAGGCCCAUCCAGCAUGGCGAUUUUGUCCGGAGUGCCCCAAUCCGCCAGCGGUACUGGGCGAGAAACUUCGUAGGCUGGCCUCAAUUCUCCUCCCACCAGCCUAACCCUGCACACUGGGCUUUGAGCACCUGGGAGAAACUUGGAAAGCUGUACUGGUUGGUGACCCAAAAUGUGGACGCCUUGCACACCAAGGCCGGGAGUCGGCGCCUGACAGAGCUCCACGGAUGCAUGCACAGGGUCCUGUGCUUGGAUUGUGGGGAACAGACUCCCCGGAGGGUGCUGCAAGAGCGUUUCCGAGUCCUGAACCCCACCUGGAGUGCUGAGGCCCAUGGCCUGGCUCCUGAUGGUGACGUCUUUCUCUCAGAGGAGCAAGUCCGGAGCUUUCAGGUCCCAACCUGCGUUCAGUGUGGAGGCCGUCUGAAACCAGAUGUCGUUUUCUUCGGGGACACAGUGAACCCUGACAAGGUUGAUUUUGUGCACAAGCGUGUAAAAGAAGCCGACUCCCUCUUGGUGGUGGGAUCAUCCUUGCAGGUAUACUCCGGUUACAGGUUUAUCCUCACUGCCUGGGAGAAGAAGCUCCCGAUUGCAAUACUGAACAUUGGGCCCACACGGUCAGAUGACUUGGCGUGUCUGAAACUGAAUUCUCGUUGUGGAGAGUUGCUGCCUUUGAUAGACCCACGCUGACCACAGCCUGAUAUUCCAGAACCUGGAACAGGGACUUCCACUUGAAUCUUGCUGCUAAAGGAUCUGGCUCUGUCACCCAGGCUGAAGUGCAAUGGCCUGACCUCAGCUCACUGCAACUUCUGCCUCCCAGGUUCAAGCCAGCCUCCCACCUCUACCUCCCAAGUAGCUAGGACUACAGGCAUGCACCACCAUACCCAACUAAUUGUUUGUAUUUUUUGUAGAGACAGGGUCUCACUUUGUCACCCAGGCUGGUCUCGAAGUCCUGAGCUCAAGCCAUCCACCCGCCUCAGCCUCCCAAAGUGCUGACAUUACAGGCAUGAGCUACCACGCCCGGCCAAAACUUUCUUUUUGAGAUAGUCUCGCCCUGUUGCCCAGGCUGGAGUGCAGUGGUGUGAUCUUGGCUCACUGCAUCCUCUGCCUCCUGGAUUCAAGUGAUUCUCCUGCCUCAGCCUCCCGAGUAGCUGAGGUUACAGGCACGUACCACUACACCUGGCUAAUUUUUUAUAGUUUUGGUAGAGAUGAGGUUUCACCAUAUUGGCCAAGCUGGUCUCAAACUCCUGACCUCAAGUGAUCUGCCUGCCUUGGCCUCCCAAAGUGCUGGGAUUACAGGCGUGAACCACCGUGCCUGGGCGUUUUUUUUGUUUUGUUUUGUUUUUGAGAUGGAGUCUCUCUCUGUAGCCCAGGCUAGAGUGCAGUGGCAUGAUCUUGGCUCACUGCAACCUCUGCCUCCUGAGUUUAAGCGAUUCUCCUGGCUUAGCCUCCCGAGUAGCUAGGACUACAGGCGCCCACCACCAUGCCCGGCUAAUUUUUGUAUUUUCAGUUCACCAUGUUGGCCAGGCUGGCCUUGAACUCCUGGCCUCAGGUGAUCCACGUGCCUCAGCCUCCAAAAGUGCUGGGAUUACAGGCAUGAGCCACCGAGCCCGGCCCCAAAGCUAAUUUUUUAAGGUACAUUAAGCUGUAGUGUUUGAAAUACUAUGGUUUUCAAAUUCUAGACAUGUAGCUCUUUAAGACACUAAAUGUUCCAAAAUCUGCCAUUGCUUUUUCCCCACUUUUAAAAAUAGUAAUUUUGAAAUAAUAAUUUACACAAAAUAAAGCAUAUUCUUUAAAAGUGUACAAUUGACUUAUUUUUUGGUGCACUCACAGAGGUGUGCUUUGAUCACUCCUAUCUAAUUCCAGAACAUUUUUAUCAUCCCAAGAAGACAUUUUGGGCCCAUUAGCAGUCACUUCCUGUUUCCCACCACUGCCAUUAUCACCUG